rnacentral:rRNA from 1 species
GACGAACGCUGGCGGCAUGCCUAAUACAUGCAAGUCGAGCGAACGGAUGAAGUGCUUGCACUUCUGACGUUAGCGGCGAACGGGUGAGUAACACGUAAGGAAUCUACCUAUAAGCGGGGGAUAACAUUCGGAAACGGGUGCUAAUACCGCAUAAUAUCUUCUUCCGCAUGGAAGAAGAUUGAAAGACGGCUCUGCUGUCACUUAUAGAUGACCUUGCGGUGCAUUAGUUAGUUGGUGGGGUAAUGGCCUACCAAGACGAUGACGCAUAGCCGACCUGAGAGGGUGAUCGGCCACAUUGGGACUGAGACACGGCCCAAACUCCUACGGGAGGCAGCAGUAGGGAAUCUUCCGCAAUGGGCGAAAGCCUGACGGAGCAAUGCCGCGUGAGUGAAGAAGGCCUUCGGGUCGUAAAACUCUGUUAUAAGAGAAGAACAAAUUGUAGAGUGACUGCUACAGUCUUGACGGUAUCUUAUCAGAAAGCCACGGCUAACUACGUGCCAGCCGCCGCGGUAA